GGGUUUAAGCAGUGAGAAGAGAAAUCCGCAACGACGAAACGAUGCCUCCAAAGUUGGGUAAACCUGAAAAAGCAGAUGCUCUGAAGAAGCUGGGGACUCAUGUGGCCCUCUUUGGAGUUUGGGUUGCCGUAAUUCGGAUCACCCCUUAUAUCCUUCACUAUUUUUCUGAUAAAAAAGAAGAACCUGUGCUCGAGCUCUAGAUUCCUAAUCGGUCUCUCUAGAGGAAGGAAUGUUUGGAAGGAAGGAGCCAGUGUUGUCUAUGCAUCUGUUGACCCCUUGCUCCAAUUCAUUUCUGUCUCUAUAUUUCAUUCUCGUAUGCCCCUAUGAUUCUGAAAUUUGUCACCCUAAUUAUGUGAGAUAAAAUUUGUUGUGGAAAGUUUCUUUCAGUAUCUCACUUCUAUCAAUAAUUUGAUGGCUUAUUCAUCUCUGCCAGUGAA